rnacentral:rRNA from 1 species
UACAGAGGGUGCGAGCGUUAAUCGGAAUUACUGGGCGUAAAGCGCGCGUAGGCGGCUUUUCAAGUCGAUUGUGAAAUCCCCGGGCUUAACCUGGGAACUGCAGUCGAGACUGUCUAGCUAGAGUAUGGGAGAGGGAAGUGGAAUUUCAGGUGUAGCGGUGAAAUGCGUAGAGAUGCGGAGGAACACCGAUGGCGAAGGCAGCCCCCUGGGUCGACACUGACGCUCAGGCACGAAAGCGUGGGGAGCAAACAGG